UCAGCAGAGAGGCCAAGACAGCCGAAAUCCAGCUCUCCUGCAAGGAGCAGACACAGCUGCUGUGUUAAUCACUUUGGGUCAUGUGACAGGAGCAUGGCCUGCCGGGUCCGGGCUGCCCCCAUACUGCUGCUGACCCCCAGGAGCCACGAGAAGGGUGUAGGGAGCAGAAGCUGUGAUUUGCACUUCAGGAAAAACAAGCAGUCACAGGGCUUCUCACCACAGCCCCCCUACCCUCGCCCUGUCCCUCCACCUCCUCAACUGUUUGAUCGGUGUAGGAAUCCAGUUGUGAGUGAAUGCGGGCAGGUGUAAAGCCCUGUCCUAAUCCCCUGGCUGUGAACCGGGUUCCUGUGUAUACUUUGAACAUGUGCUUCAGAUCAUCAUUUCAGUAGUUUUCAGGUGCAGCAUCCAGAUACCUUUUGUGCCCUGGGCUUUGCUGUGUGUGUAAGAUCACCAGAGCAGCUCUCCCUGCGCGGAGGCUUCCUGCAGCGGGCUGGUGAUUUGCUUUGCUGACAAGCGUGCACAUUGGAGCACUGCGCAUCGCAGCUCUGCAGCACGCUGCACACAGCGGGCAUCCUCCCAUCGCCUUCCUUCCACUCACAUUGCUGGAAUGGUUUUGUGGCAAAGGAGCAAAAGGCAGCCAUAAAUUUUCGGCGGUGACGUUGCUAUAGCGAUGGUGUCCGAUCUCUCUCUGUUAAUAUUGCCCUUUUGGAAGGGCCCUGAAUAGGCACUGAGGUAGGUAAAUGUAUGCGGUGACACCGAGCGGGUGAUUCUAUUCUGACAAAUCCCUGCACCGUUUGUUUCCAGGCUUGUCUGAGGGCCGGGACGCGGUGUUGGGCUUUUUGUCCCACGUGCUGCCCUCGCAGGGACGGAGUUAAUGGAAGCCUUGUUCGGAGCCGCUGGGGCAGAAAUUUUUUUGCUGAAGGAGACAAAAGCGGGACAGGCCACCUCAGAGGUUGCUUUGGGAAGGCCGUCUCUUGUGGACUCUCAAAGGAAAUGAGAGAUAACACUCAGCCCAGGAGGCUCAUCCCAUGUUUUCAGGCUCCCUCCUCCCCGCCCCACCACCUUGUUCUUGCACAUCUGCCUCCUACGGCAUCACGUCGCAUGGAGGCAAGAUCCCCACUGAGCUUCUAACCAGGCCCACCUGAAAUGUCGAGGCCCUUUGCUGUAACGUUUUACCGGGCCCUGCUUCGUGUAGCCAUUGGAGCUAGGAACACGGUAACAGCCGAGUGUGUUAGGGCAGCUGAAUAACCCCAUGCAGACAGACACAGGUUGUUCUCCUGUGGAAGGCCUCUGAGACAGAGAUUUAAACCUGAAGUUAUGCCGGUAGUGCUCAGCGUCUGCUCUCUGGGGACAGCAACAUUUCAUCCAAAGGGAAAUGCAGUCAGCAUAAAUUUAUCAGAGUGUAGGCUCUUUAGAAGUGCUUUAUCACAAUAAAGUAUGGCCUUUCGAUUCUACCAAUUUCUAAAA